rnacentral:rRNA from 1 species
GCUUGCACAGAUUAAUGAUAGUGGCGCACGGGUGAGUAACACGUGGGAACAUACCUUUUGGUGGGGGACAACAGUUGGAAACGACUGCUAAUACCGCAUACGCCCUUAGGGGGAAAGAUUUAUCGCCGAGAGAUUGGCCCGCGGAAGAUUAGAUAGUUGGUGGGGUAAUGGCCUACCAAGUCUACGAUCUAUAGCUGGUCUGAGAGGACGAUCAGCCACACUGGAACUGAGACACGGUCCAG